GUUUGAAUAAUAAAUAAGAACAUUAAAAAAAUGUAUUUUGACAGAUAAUAUUGUUUGUCGAUAAAUUUAAAAAUCUAGCAAAAGAAAUAUGUAUUAAAAGCUAAAGCAGAAAAAAUUUGGGUUUUCUGUUUACCACCACCACCACCAUGAAGAUUAUCAACGCGGUAUAGUAUUCGUGUACAUAUGUGAAUAUACAGAAAUUUACCAAAAUUCAUACCUCACCGCUCAAUAGCACCACUAUGGCAAGAGAGACCCACUAAUGUGUAGUGGAUUCUCUUAGGGGGCUACCACGGAGGAUAACGUGACAAAAGUCUACGAUAUCAUAUUGGUGGACCAUCGAAUGACGGUACCCGAGAUAGAUACAAUAGAACCGCAUGUGUCAUAUCCUGCACGAAAUAUUGAGCAUGAGCACGCUGUGGGCGCAACUAGUACCGCGUUUACUCACUGUGGACAUGUAGAAUAACAUAAGACCACACUGACGUUUUUAAGCCAACCAACAAAGUGGACUAUACUCGGCAAACCUGCUCCGAAGAACACGAUGACUUCCCUGGAGAAGGCUAAGAUGGUCACAUGGCUCUACUCUGCCAAAUUAUUGGGCCGACUUGGUAGCGAAUUGAAGAGAAUACGGUGAAGAAAAAAAUAAUAUUUUAUCAUUACAAGGCACCGACUCACACCUCUAAGAAAACCGAGAUAAAAACGAACUGUUGAGAAAUAAAUUACCAUUUUCCAAAA